rnacentral:rRNA from 1 species
AAUUUUGGACAAUGGGGGAAACCCUGAUCCAGCCAUCCCGCGUGGAUGAUGACGGCCNNNGGGUUNUAAAGUCCUUUCGACGGNGACNAUAAUGACGGUACCCGUAGAAGAAGCCCCGGCUAACUUCGUGCCAGCAGCCGCGGUAAUACGAAGGGGGCUAGCGUUGCUCGGAAUCACUGGGCGUAAAGCGCACGUAGGCGGCUUUUUAAGUCAGGGGUGAAAUCCUGGAGCUCAACUCCAGAACUGCCUUUGAUACUGGAGAGCUUGAGUUCGGGAGAGGUGAGUGGAACUGCGAGUGUAGAGGUGAAAUUCGUAGAUAUUCGCAAGAACACCAGUGGCGAAGGCGGCUUACUGGUCCGGUUCUGACGCUGAGGCGCGAAAGCGUGGGGAGCAAACAGG